UAUUCUUAGAAUGGUAUAAAAUGGGCCCUCUAAAUGAUACAGAGAAGAUUAGCAUGCCCCGGAACAAGGAUGACACACAAAUGCAUGAAGCUUUCCAAUAAGAA